rnacentral:misc_RNA from 1 species
ACCUACUGUUUAAUUUUGAGGGUUCGUUUUUACGAAUACUCAAAAUUAGCACUUUUAGCAACAGAAUAAACUGAACGCAUGUGAAGUUUGUUUGUUGGCGCUGUGCAUUAGCACUUUAAGCAACGGGAUUUAUCCGUUGGAGCUGAGCUUUAGCACUUCAAAAACUGCAUAUAUAUUUAGUGAUAUGACAUCUAAUUUGUAAUAUAUAAAGCUGAUAACUUUUUAAAAUGAUCGAAGUUGAUAGCUUCUAAUCUAUCAGACCUUUUUAACUGGCCAA